CUUUCUGAGCUCAGUCCUGUAUUUCUCGUAUGUUAAACUGGGUGGGGAAGAGAAAGAUUAGCACUGUGUCUGAAUUGGAUUUUUGCUCUGUUAGCUUGUGCUGUGUGAAGGGGGAAGGCAGAUGCUUAACCCUCAGCAGGGUCGCACCACUAAAGUCAGCUUUGCAACCUCCUCUUCCUUGCCAAUGUUCCUGUGAAGAUCCUCCAGGCAAUCUGCACGGAGCAGGCUCUGGCUCACAUCUGUGAGAUCAGCUGCUUGGUGGCAUCUCAUCCCUGUGAAGGGCUGGAGCUGCUUCAUCUCAGCUCCUGCUGAGUUCUGAGGUCAGAGAAGUUGUGAGUCUCUGCUACAAGAGGAAGCUCAGUGAGUGGCAGGGUGUCACAGCCUCUGCUCAGAUGAGAUUGCAGCUGGAGAUAUAAAGGGAAGAGCAGCAACACUGAAGAUUUAUUUACAAAUGGUCAAACCACCCUCUCCAGCUAAGAGGCCACAAAUGGUAACAGCAGCAUGAAAUACAGCAGCUACAAAAGAGAAGAGUUAAGAUGAGGACAGUUUUGGUGAGAUUUGUCACUGUACUGAAAGCAGGAAGGACUGGCUCUAUACUCAAGACCUUGGAGCUGCUAUUGUUUUACACACUCCUGGACACUCAUGAGAUCUUACCUAAGAUCCAUCCCUGGCAUUUGAGGAUGCAUCCCAACUGAAUCAAUAAAGCUCUGAGAAUUACCUAA